GGCCGCAUGGCGAAAUGGCAUCGCGUCUGACUACGAUUUAUCGUUUAUCAGGAGAUUGCAGGUUCGACCCCUGCUGUGGUCA
rfam:Neolentinus lepideus HHB14362 ss-1 unplaced genomic scaffold NEOLEscaffold_27, whole genome shotgun sequence.